rnacentral:rRNA from 1 species
UACGGAGGGUGCAAGCGUUUAUCCGGAUUCACUGGGUUUAAAGGGUGCGUAGGUGGGUCUGAAAGUCAGUGGUGAAAUCUCCGGGCUUAACCUGGAAACUGCCAUUGAUACUUCAGGUCUUGAAUUUUCUGGAGGUUAGCGAAUAUGUCAUGUAGCGGUGAAAUGCUUAGAUAUGACAUAGAACACCAAUUGCGAAGGCAGCUAAACUCGGG